AACGAACGCUGGCGGCAGGCCUAACACAUGCAAGUCGAGCGAGACCUUCGGGUCUAGCGGCGGACGGGUUAGUAACGCGUGGGAACGUGCCCUUCUCUGCGGAAUAGCCACUGGAAACGGUGAGUAAUACCGCAUACGCCCUUCGGGGGAAAGAUUUAUCGGAGAAGGAUCGGCCCGCGUUAGAUUAGAUAGUUGGUGGGGUAACGGCCUACCAAGUCUACGAUCUAUAGCUGGUUUUAGAGGAUGAUCAGCAACACUGGGACUGAGACACGGCCCAGACUCCUACGGGAGGCAGCAGUGGGGAAUCUCGGACAAUGGGCGCAAGCCUGAUCCAGCCAUGCCGCGUGAGUGAUGAAGGCCUUAGGGUCGUAAAGCUCUUUCGCCAGAGAUGAUAAUGACAGUAUCUGGUAAAGAAGUCCCGGCUAACUCCGUG
rnacentral:rRNA from 1 species